GAUGAACGCUAGCUACAGGCUUAACACAUGCAAGUCGAGGGGAAACGGCAUUUAGUGCUUGCACCGAAUGGACGUCGACCGGCGCACGGGUGAGUAACGCGUAUCCAACCUUCCCAUAACUAAGGGAUAACCUGCCGAAAGGCAGACUAAUACCUUAUGUAAUCCUUUGAUGGCAUCAGAUAAGGAUAAAAGAUUUAUCGGUUAUGGAUGGGGAUGCGUCUGAUUAGCUUGUUGGCGGGGUAACGGCCCACCAAGGCAACGAUCAGUAGGGGUUCUGAGAGGAAGGUCCCCCACAUUGGAACUGAGACACGGUCCAAACUCCUACGGGAGGCAGCAGUGAGGAAUAUUGGUCAAUGGACGGAAGUCUGAACCAGCCAAGUAGCGUGCAGGAUGACGGCCCUAUGGGUUGUAAACUGCUUUUGUAUGGGGAUAAAGUCAAUCACGUGUGUU
rnacentral:rRNA from 1 species